rnacentral:rRNA from 1 species
CGUAGGGCGCAAGCGUUGUCCGGAAUUAUUGGGCGUAAAGAGCUCGUAGGCGGCUUGUUGCGUCGGUUGUGAAAGCCCGGGGCUUAACCCCGGGUCUGCAGUCGAUACGGGCAGGCUAGAGUGUGGUAGGGGAGAUCGGAAUUCCUGGUGUAGCGGUGAAAUGCGCAGAUAUCAGGAGGAACACCGGUGGCGAAGGCGGAUCUCUGGGCCAUUACUGACGCUGAGGAGCGAAAGCGUGGGGAGCGAACAGGAUUAGAUACCCUGGUAGUCCACGCCGUAAACGUUGGGAACUAGGUGUUGGCGACAUUCCACGUCGUCGGUGCCGCAGCUAACGCAUUAAGUUCCCCGCCUGGGGAGUACGGCCGCAAGGCUA